GCAGUUGUUGGGAAGUUGACUCAACUGUUGACUGUGCCCAGUGCAGAUCUUGCAUUCCUUGACUGCCUCUGGAUGUGCAAAUGCUGGUGGAGGCUGGAACCUCCCUGUGCCUGACUAGCAGCCAGCGAGUACCUGCCUUGGUCAAGGACCUUGCUGCAUCUCUCUGUGCGUUUCUCACUUCUAUUCUGUAUCACUGCACUUCUCAUCAGAACAAAGGAAGCUGAAGGCAGAGCAAAGUACUUCACUUGUGUUAUCACAAUGACAGACGUCUGUAUCACUCCCCCCACACCUCAUACCCCCAGACUGUUUGCUAAGUGUUUGCAUUCAAAGAGGUUAAGACUUUAGAAUAGGCAUGUGACUAUACCAGCAGCGUGAGUGUUCAUGACUGCUGAUUUCUCUGUAGCUGCAUGUUACCUGCUGUCCUCUUUACUUCAGGUUGUCCGCUCUAGUUAUUGGUUAUGACCAAGAGGGGUGUAUUCAAAGUUCAGGAGUAAUUCCCAACUUUAUAUACUGUCAUUAGGCCAGAUUCUGGCUAUUUCCAUCAAGCAAACAGAGAGCUCUACUUGAGCCAUCCACUUCUGAACCACUGAGGAGCUGAAGUGUUUUCUGGUCCCUUGGGACAAGAGCUGCUUAGUCCAGAAAUACAAUGCUACUCUUUGGCUUCUCCAAGGAUUAAACCUUUUUUUAGGCUAAGUCAAAAGGAGUUUUUGUAUUGUUUUGAAUCAAGAUAGGAAUUUUUCUCAGCAAGUAGUGGCAUCCAUAGGAGGCACUGUUUCUCUCAGCAGUCCUAUUACAAGAGGCUGCUGGGGCUAUCCUGUUGGCAAGCAGGGAUUAUGAGGAUUCCUCCUGGCACUGGCAUGGAACAUCCCAGUAAAGAAAUUGGAGCCAUUGCCUAAGGAUUUACCAAUCCUGCAUCACUCCUUAUGUCUCCUAAGUAAUCUUGCUCUGUCACGUACCACUUCUGAUGUCUGCUCAGUGGUAUGACAUUCAUUACUUCAGUCUCUGGCUCCUGUCUGUGCUUUCCAUCACCUUUGCAAGAUUUCAUGAACUAUUAAUGGGAAAAACAUAAAGGACAGAGAGGCAACCGAUCACUGCUGGCUCCAGAAUAAGGCACAGUCCCUGAGAUGUCUGUGUGUAAAAUCAACAGCUCUUCUAGAAAUUAUUGCUUGUACAUACAAAUACAGGAGCCGGUGAACUACACAGAGUGUGUGGAUUUUGUCAGUUGUCCUGUUUAGGAACAGCUUUGAAUGUUAGAUGUGAGGUGAUUCAGAAGCAUCUAGUUGUUUUUAUGUCCUGCUGUUUUUACUCCAAUUGCUGCUACAGAAGUGCUCGCGUCCGUAAGUUUAGUAUACCUGCCAGACCAACAAAGAUACCUUGGACAACCUAGGGCGUCUGAAUGGCACAGAUCCCUGGGUGGUUCAGAUGUGUCCUGAUCAUUCCCAAGAUGUCUGCCUGGUUGGGAAAAUGGAAUACAUUUGAAGUUCAAAGCUCGUAUCUUCUGAGUAGAAUAAAAGGGUUUCCUUUGUCUUACUUAAAUGGAUCAUUAGAAGAACAAGCAGCCCUUCAUGUUUUUACACAUGAAAGAAAACCCAGAGAGUCACAAGCUCUCACAUGCAACCGAAAACUGUAAGUAUAUAGUGUGUCUAGAUCUCAUAUGUAAGCCAUGCUUUUCAGAGCGUCAGCCUUUAUGUCACCUGACUGCUUUCAUGCAAUGAAAGGCAUUGUGGUGCUUUGAUGAAGAAUUCCUUAGAUUUCAGUGGUACGAAAGACUGUCUUCAUUUAAACGUGAGUAGACUCUUGUGAGAACUUUGGCCAUUGUGUGAUGAGGAGAACGUACUGGUUGUGUGAGCUGCAAGUUUCGUUUUUACAUCUACAAAUUUCUUUCCAGACAUGAUUUAAGUAUGCUUCGUGCCAUGUAACUCAAACAAUUCCAUGAAAAAAAGUGGAGCUAAAUAAAAUGAAAAUGAUCUGAAACUUUCACCAUUGCUCUAAAAGCACAUAAUCUUAUCAUAUAACUGACAACAGUAGGGUGAUGUGAGUUUCCUAAAUCUAAGUCCCGAAAUCAUAUAGUGUCACACCUUAUUUGUGUAAUGGUAAAGAAAAAUUACACAUUCUAAAAGGCAAAGUAAAAAGAACCCCAAAAGGAUUAACAACAUCAACAAACUUUAAAGAUUUUGGAGAGCUGCCUCAUAAAUGUUGAAUACUUGUCAUUAACGAUACAGAAAUAAAAUAUUGGGCUUUAGAUUCUCUGGUUGUUCUUCAGGUCUUCACGGCUGUUAAAGCACAGCAUACUCUGUGUUCUGUCCCACUGGUCUCCACUGGUAACCUCAUUUUUUUGCAGCAGCUUCAGGCUGAACAUACAGUAGCAAAGCUGGUGUGUCAGCAAUCCCACACACCUCUCCUGCUCUGUACUCCAUUAAUCUCUGUGAAGCAAAAGGAACCCCCUAUUCCACUCAACUAUACUUUCUCUAACACCUCCCACUCUGGGGUCCCAGUCCUGCUGCUUUUCCUCCUCCAGCCUGGGUGGCCCAAGAAUGUUCCACCUCAGCUGUCCUUGUGGGAGUAAAAGGCAAAGGAUCAAACAAGAGACAGCAUGCCUUUGAAAACAUGGAUGUAUCCAGGAAGGCUUAGUUCUGCCACCUUCAAUUAUCUGGAAACACACUCUGUGAGUCACUUAACUGACUUUCAUAACCUUAUUCACUAGUUCAUACAGAAAUAUACAGAGGAAAGAUAACAGAAGCAACAAGUCUGGAACGUGUUUUCUUCUUGAGCCUCAAGUCAUGCAUGCUGAAGCAAACUAUUAGGGUUCCUUCUCACAUGAACUGUGGGUGUGUGGAGAAAUUUUGCAUGUAAACAAGCUAUUGAAUGGCUUCCUUUUCAUCAGUCUUGUUUUUUUUAACAUUAUGUACGCAUUUUUUCUCUCUCAAAAUGUUCCUUCUCUCCUGGAAGGAAAGAAAUAGAGGGAUCCUCCUAGUUCAGGCCUAAAGACUGAACGAUCUGUGAAAAAUUCCAGGAGCCACUGAAGCAAUGGAGGGAGAGCAGAAAGAGCGCAGGGAAAGCAGAUCAUGAAAGCAGGGCAACAGGGAGAGGAUUUGGACGUUGAGGCAGAAUUGUUUGUCAGAAGUAUAGUUUUGCAAAUUCAAAACUUUGUUCUGGACUGCGCCCCGUUUAAAUAAGUAUAAAAGACUACGCUGAAAUCUAUGGAGUGCCUCUUGUGGAGGUUAGAACUCAACCUCUACUUCUUUUCUGGGGCCUUUCUAAUUUAUCCAUAGCUUUCCUCCAGAUCCUUAACUCUUGAGGUUGAAUGUGUUCGACAUGACAGUAAAAGUGAAGAUGCUUCAAGAGUGCAAAUGCAUCUGCUCGUCUGCGCAUGCAAAAGCUGCCCCGGUGGUCACUUUUCCCACAACUGAGGGCUUUUAGCUCAUUGAGUGGACAGAGGAGGAGGAGGGAUAGAGCACACUGAAUCAGCGCAGAGCACAGACAGAUUGGACAAUCCAUAGGAGGCGAGCUUCAGGCGUGUGCAACAAUGAUCCACCUGAAAUGUAGCCACCACACUGUUCUUGAGGAUCUGAACCUCUAGAAUGAACUAUUACAUAUAUAUGUUGGUUUUGCAGACACCAUUAGUUCAAAUGUUGGGAUGGUUUUGUUUUGUGGUAUUUUUUUUCUGGAAAAUGAAAGGGAAGUGAUUAAGAACAGGCAAGGUAAAUGGUUAUCUAAAUAAUUAACUUUAUUGCAAUAAUAUACAGUGGGUUUCUGAGAGGCAAUUUCAUAUCACGCCAUUCUGAGUCCUAAAAAUAGCAUUAGGAUGCUGAAAAGCUGGCUGCCGUUUAGCUGUAAUGGAGUUGUAAGGCUAAGAUAAACUUAUCUGAAGAAAUAUUAGAAGUGCCAGGAUAAUAAAUGUACUCAGAAUGCUCGCUGCUCCCUUGCAAAGCCCUGUAUUCUUUUUUCCUGACUUUUCCCCUAAAUGAGGAUUCUUUGCCAAUGAAAAUAGAAAAAGAUUUUUGCAUUCUCAAAUACCUUAGCUUUUGGCAUUUGGAGUAAAAACAACUAUUUCUGAAAAGUAAAGCUUUCUUCAUGGAAAACUUAUGCUCCUUAUGAGUCUAGAAGCUGUAAAAAGGGGCUUUUCCUUUUUUUGAAACUGCUGCAGCAUUUAAAAGCAAUAAUGCAAUUUGUAUGUUUCCUAAAACAACUUUAAUUAGCUUUUAGUAAACGUCUCCCAAAAAGUUUAAGUAUUUCCAGUAAUCCAGCACGUAACACCAUAAUUUGCAAUCGUUUUUCAGUGUCUCUAUCGCGGCACAUUGAUGAGAUCAGUCAGUAAAGGCUAAAAAAAAAAUUCAGAGUUGGAAAAAUGUGUUGUGACAGAAUGAAUGGCACACGGGAAUCGUGCAGCUCUAGUGUCAGGCUUGUUGCAGCACUGUGUCAGUGCUACCCUGUCAGAGAAGAGUGCAAUUACUGUGCAAAAAUAAUCUUUUCAGAUUUUCCCAGUUUAGGUACGAAGGUGUCAAAAGUAUUCAGAUUACAGUUGCAUUCCAUGGAAAACCUUUACCUCAAAAAAGUAGAAAGCAACGUGCUUGAAUCUUGGAUGGUAAUCUGAAGGUCAUCUGUAGGCGUCUCUGACUCUGCUUCUUGUGCAUGUGGACGUAUUUACCAUUCCUCACAUGACGGAGGACUCCCCCAAGAACAAAUGCUCCUUCUCUGUGCCUCUUCCUAUCUCCCUUUAUUCAUAAGCCCUCAAGCCAGAGAGAAUCAUCUAUCAUCUUAUCUCCCUCUGGCAUGAUACAGGCAGCUGAAUUUCACAAAUAAAGCUCACCACUUCUAGUAGAAACGUAACCCAUCUGGCUUUAGAAAUGGCUAAUUCUAGGGGCCCACUUUCUCCAUCUUCCCCUCAAAAGAAGGGAGAUUGCCUGUGAAUAGUGAGUUACUCGUGAAAUAUGGGAGAGUAGAAAAGAUUAUCUCGCAAUUUCAAAUAUUGAACUUGAAUUUAUUGAAGCAGAAUUUCUUCAAGUUAGGUGUACAAGCCAAGAAUGAAGCCUGUAUUAUUGGACAAGAGAAGACUAUUGGAAAUUCCAGAAGGAAAAUUCCUUUUUGAACUUUUUCAUGUUUACUGCAGACCACAGAAGUCACAUUAACAACCAGAGUACUUUUUUUCCUGCCAGUGAACCUCAAAUCACUCAGCAGUGCUAAAUGAAUAGAAAAGAAAAACAAUAUUUUUAAGCCCUUUUCUCUGCUCACUUCAUCAGCUCAGUCGCAUUACAGAAAGCCCUCUGAGCAAGGUACAGUAUGAAUAUGCCAAAUUCUGGGCCCAAGGAAAUUUUGUUUUCAUUUGACAAUAACUCCAUAAAAGUCAGUGAUGGCUUCUGCAUUCACUUAUGUGAAAAGGAUAGAACAGAACCUGGUCCUGAAUGACUGACUUUAUUGCUUGCUGUUUUGCAAGCAUAGGAAUCAUAAACAGAAGAUGGAUUUAACAUUCAAGGCCAGGCUGGAUGUGGCUCUGGGCAUCCUGGUCUGGUGGUUGGCGACCCUGCGCAUAGCAGGGGGGUUGAAACUCGAUGAUCAUUUUGGUCCUUUUCAACCCAGGCCAUUCUAUGAUUCUAUGAUAUUAUUCAAGCGCUUUGGUAAUGAGACAAGUCAGGUCUGGCAUGUACUGUAGGGAUGAAAUGGAAAAGAGUAAUAGAACGAUACCAAUAUUACAGUAAGACAAGGAAAGUUAUACAAAAAUCCAGGUUAUUGAUAUUAAAUAACAAUAAUUUUUAAACUACUGAGAAAGGAAACUACCUAAUCAUGAGGGAAAGAUGCAGAAUUAGACAUUCCAUUACUAAGGAGGAAUUACAGGCGUUUGGGAACUCAACUGAACAGCUGUGAAAAUCCAUUUCUAAACUAGUUCUCUUGACAAGGUCCGACAAAAGUAUACAGCAAGAAUUAAGAGGCCGAGAAAAGAACUUCACUGUAAGCAUUAUUCAUGGCUGUUGAAAAAUUGCUACAUCUCCGCUGUGCCACAACCUGUUAAGUUUUAGCAUUCUGUACUUUCAAGUGUGAAUGAAAAAUUAAUGCAGCCCACCCGGAAAGCCAGCUAACAGUUUCCAGCAGCUCGCCACCAGCAUUAAAAAAAUAACAAUAAAAAUAUGAAGGCAGAGUUUAACAAAACCUAAAUACUGACAAAACUAAAUGAAUUCCCAGUCAUAUGAAAUAGAAAGCCAAAGUGAUAUUCCAGAUGGAGAGUAUUUGGAGUUACAUCGGUGAAAUAUGUAAAGCUAAAGGAAUUGUAAAAAAAAGAAUGAAAAUGAAUCUAUGACUAUUAAGUGAAUAGGAUAGGAAACUGUACCACUGAGAGAGGGGUGUGUUAGGCAGCAAUGUUAAAUGGGAUACCUUUUGCAAGAUAGUGGCUCUAGAGCACACAACCUUGCAAAGUAAAAGCAAAUCCGGCAACUCUGCUAAACAGCAGAUCAUCUGUAGUGCGUUGUGAAAACUGACAGGUGCGUGCGCUGAUAUUUGACGAUAGGAAACAGAGAACGGAUAAAAUAAAUCCCUCUGUCCUCCCCUUGCUCUGCAGGCUGGCCGUCACAGCUGCUUUGAAGUACCGACCCUGGAAGCCUUCUGCUGUACUAAUGAAAGCUUAUAGAGGACCCUGUUCCUUAGAGAGAUGGGUGCUGCAGCACCUUUCCACUGGAGUCUAAGUCCCAUGAAGCUUAGGACGGUAUCCAGCGAGCAUUUACCAAUUCCCUCUUCACUCUUUAAAGCUGCUAGGGUAAGGGAUGGGGGAGAGAUGGGGUGAGAGAGUGAGCCAGAAGGGGCUGCCCAGAGCCAUCACAUGUAACGCUAGUCAAGUGCUCUGGUCCUUAGUGAGGCUUCUCAACUGUGCACUGGCUGGCCAGGCAGCACUGCUGGAUGGGAGAAUGGCCUCUGCAGCUCAAAGACAUCACAGGAACUGAUCAGCCAUACUCUAGGGUGUCAGGACGCCUGAGUCUUUCUUAAAGCCAGAAGAGUUCAUUACGAAUGUAUUUUAUUUCAGUGUGAUAUUAGGCUGCAGAUGACAUUUACAGGCUUCUGCACAGCUUGGUUUUCAGUUUGAUCUCACCUCUCUAUCAGAGAUCAUGUGCAAACCCCUGUGCUCCAGCUGGAUCUUCCACUGCGCUGGCAGACGGCCUAUGGCCAAAUUAAAUAUUGAACCUGGGGAGUGGCAAAAUCUUUUCCUUGCUUGAGACUGAAAGCCUUCUGAACUCCUUUAACAGGUCACAACUUGACACAUGUCUUAAUGUUAUCCAACAAUAACCAGAAGAAUAAACUCUGUGUUGGCAACCAAUUAAAUCACAAGUUGCACUGAGAUUCCAACUUCUACCUCCUUCUCCCUCAUUCUUCCAUUCUCCCUCUCUCUCAACAGUUUAAAAACUUAUUCUUCUUCACAGCGGCCAUUUGAGGCUGAGCCACGGAGUAAAACCACAGCCUUCAAAAAGCUUACUUUCUCCCACCAUCUAAAGAGGGCCUCAUCUUUCAGGACACUGUCAUGCCCUGAGCUGUGCAGUGUAGAUGUCUGCUACUUCUGCACCCGCCUCCAUUUCUUUGGCCCGUUGCUGUUUGUUUCUUCCCCAUUAGUUCAUACACGCACACUUCACUCUCUCUGCCUCUCUUGGUUUUCACUCCCGCAAAAGAAAGCAGACAAGACCAAAGUCCUUCUGACAAAUUAGGCCAGAUGAAAAGUUUAGCAUUAGGAACACUAUCACAGAAGAGAAGUUUCUAUGCAAAAUACCACUUAAUGGUAAAAAUGUGAAGUGAGAUGUCACUGACGCUUAAGAAGUCACUUGAAAUCCUUGUGUCGACAUGUUCUGGUAGAACUCCUAGGUGAAGGAAACAUUUAUAUUUCAAGCCUUCUGUUUCUAUAUUGUUCCUUAAGUUAUAUUUGUUGCUUGACAGUGAAAAAUUGAUCAACACCUGUUCUAUCUUAGUCUCUUAACAGGUUUGAAAUAUACCAGAGUGGAACAUCUAUCUGACAUUUAAAAGAAUGAGACAGUAGUGUACUGUGCUUAACUGUGACACUGUCAGUCAGUUCUUUUUUAUAUAUCAUAGACAGUGCUCACUAAAUAUGUGAAAUGUUUUCUGGACACAAUGGGAGUGCUGUCCUGACCUUUAAGAAAAGAUUAAAGUGUAUGUAGUUUGCUUGCAUACUUUGCAUAGUCCUAAAAUUGAGGCUCUUAUCAGAGCCAACAUAGGAUGUAAAGUAAAAUUCAGUAAGAAUGUCCCUAAAUUAAACUGCGUCAGUCUUUCCCCCAGUUUUGGUGCUGUGUUCUAAAUGGGAAGCAGGCUGACGUGGUUAGGAGUCCCUGGUUUCUGUUCUCUGUUUGAGCACUGUCCAAGACAGACGGUGGGCAUCUCUGAGACAGCUUAUGCAGUCACUCCAAAGCUUUAGGAGGACCUUGCAUUUACUGUCAUUCUGUAAGACUUACCUAGCAAAAUCUGGAAAGUGUUUUCUCGUAUCAGUUUAAAUUCUGGCCAUUGUUCACUCCUUUGCAAUUUGAGAAGGCUUUGGGCAGCAGCAGAGGCUCUGGAAUUAUCUUUUGCAGACUCAGGAAGAUGGUACCAGACUGUCAUUCUCAAAUCACAUUUGAAUUUUUUUCAGGAACAGCGCUGGAAACUUUUUAAAGCAGAAGUUGUUGGCACUCACAGGGCAGAGAGGUAGGGGGGGAUUCUUACUCAUGCAAAUUGAAUUUUAGGCAAUUUUUAUUGGAUGAAAUUCUUCUAUCUGUCAUUAAUUCAUGGAGAUCUGUUAAUAUUGUUAAGGAUAAUGUAUUGCACUCUUGAUCUGUGAAAAAUAUUGACUAUGUAGGUUCCCUGCUUGCAGUCCACUCUUGCACGGUUUACAGGAUCCUGUGAAAUGAUCCAGGAAAGUCAGGCUGGAGAAGUAAUGCAACAGCUACAGAAGGUGUUGGAGACACAAAAACCGAACGGUGGGCUGUACUCACCACACAGAAACAAAGAGCCCAUUAGAGAGGAAGGUUAAGAACGCAUCAGUGUAUUUCAAACACAGAUCCUAAAGCUGGUGGAAUGUGUGCAGAUGCUUAACGUUUUGCUUUGUGAAUCGUUCCAUUUAAAUCAAUGGGGCUCUUCAUAGCAUGUAAAACUUGACACGUACAUAAGUCUUGGCAGGAUCAGGGCCAAACUUUUUUUUUUCUAAAGAGUGUGACUUGCUUGGAGACAUUCCAGAGCUAAAAAACAGCACGUGGGGCUUUCUAUAAAAUUGUUGGCACCGUUCUGCUUAUUAAACAGACAUGAACUCACUCAAGUAAGAUAAGGUCUAGACAUUUGUAUCAAGUAUAUGGAAGUUUGUGCCUACUUCUUAGUUGAAAAAUUUAGCAAUAAUAGAUCUAGAUUUGUAUGUUGCAUUAAUUUCUUGAUACAUACUUAUUUAAGUUAGAGUUUUAUAACAUUACCUAUCUUGUCUAUUUUGCUAUACCUUAUAUAGCUUACCUAUAAAUAUAGCUUACCUAUAGUUCUGCUACCAGGCAACAUUUAUUCUGCUGGCUAAUAAAGUGCCAACACUUUCAAUCAGAUUGCACAGAAAACAGUUCCUAUUAUUUACUUUGUGACCUUAGAAGGGGGAAAAAGCAAAUCUUCCUGUCUUGCUUGAAACUAAUUCAGCACUAAGUAUAUGAGAGAAGAAUUUAUUGUAUUUGUGGCUUGAGUAUUGAAGAGCAACAUAUUCAUUUCAGGAACAGAGUCUAAUUUUAGACCAGUAUUGAAGGUGCUAUUCAAAUGAGAAUGCUGGAAGUGCCAGGAGGACUUUUCAAGAGCAAUCCCAGUAUAGUUCUUGAAAUACAAUGAUUAUAAGAUGGGAGAAAUCACAGAACAAACUUCACUGGUUUAAAUGGAACCUGUUAUAUACCUGAAAUUUGUUGUCAUGGACAUGGCCUCAAACUGUUUCAGAUAAACACCUCAACUUUAUAGGUCUUUGAGAAAACAGAAAUAGUCACUUGGCCCACUUGGUGCUGGACUGCUUGGUGGUAGAUGCUGCCAGCACUUAAAAUAAGCAGCCUGGGGAGACACGUGGAACAUCUGGCAACAGCAGCUACUUUUAAUCACACAGGCCACAGGUCACAUUAUACAACAGUGCCUAAAAUCAGUGUCACAUUUAGCAAAGCAUGUUUACUUGGCCACCAGAUGUCCUGAGGUCAGAUUUAAAAGCUUCUGCAGAUGUAGACAGGAACCCAGCAGUGUUUUCACAAGUCCCUAAGUGCUUAUUUCCCAUUGGUUUCUCACUAGGACCUUCUUUGUGUGAUUACUUUAAAAAUAGUUCAGAAAUACAGUGUUAGCUGUCUCGAGGCAUGCUGCCUUGCUCCAAGCUGCAGGAAGGCAAAAGCUGCAUUCGGGGUAACUUCUUCAGCUAUGGUUACCUUUAGGGCAGCUGUCCUCCCAUGUCUGAACCAAGCUCCUCUCGGGGCUCCUCCUCUGGCAGUGCCCUGGGUGAGUUGAUGGGAAUGAUUGCUACAUGAAUCAGCUGCAUGUUAGUUAACAGAAUCAUGUAGAAGGUCUUGAAGACUUUUUCAUCUCCUGAUGUGUGGGAAUCUAUAGAUUUUUCAACAGAGACUGCCUCCCAAAUAUAUAUGGUAAAUAAUAGUUUAUUUACUAUUUUGGCUAGGCUUCAUUUGUAGAAAUCCUCUUUGCAUUCAGGGUUACCUCCUCUCUCCUCCCUGGUACUCUCCAGCCCUUCACCCAGACUGGCUGUGCCAGAAGGCACCAGGUCCCUUCUCUAAGCUUACUCCAGUGAGCAACUUCCACAUUCCUAUUUUUAAAACUUGUACAUCUUGAAUAUAAGGGAACACAUGGUCUUUGCAAGAUAGUCUCCAGUUCCUUCCCCAUUCCACACAGUCACGCUGCUCAGUGCCAAUUUUAUUUCAUGGCAUUGCUGAAAGAUCCGUUAUAGGAAUAUAUAUAACCUACAUUAUCAUUUCCCAGAAAAAAAAAAUAAUAAGAAGAAAAAAAAAAAGUGGGAUGGGGAGGGAAUGUUCCAGAGGAAAUAGAUUGCAUUUUCACGAUUUAAAAGUAGUUAGAGCUAGAAGUAACAAAUAUAGAGCCAUGUCCUCAGAAAUGUUAUGCAGCGUGUGCAAGCACCAGCAAAGGAGCACUAGAUGGCACUGUAGUUAUCUGCAGUCAAAAAGCCUCGGCCGAACCCAGGGGAGGAUGGACUCAGGUCCAUCUCUGAAUGGGCAGCUGCCAUUUGCCUCCUAAAUUUUACCCGGGUGGCUUGGGGAGGUUCCGAGGCAUGUGAGACAUGGCAGCCCUUCUAAGGAUUCUGGUAUAUACAACCUUCAGUAGGUUGCUAAUGAUGGGAACAAAAAGCAAAAGCAGCAUGAAAAGCUUACUGAAUACUUUCGUUUCACAAAGUGAGGCUGCAUGGGCACCUCAGAAUUCGUUACGUUCUGGUGAAUGUAAGGGAAGAAUAUUCAGAUUCAGUGGUAAAUCCAGUAUGUCUAAAAUCAUCUCACUCAAAAGAACACCAAAAAUGUUAUGUCGUGUUGGCAACUGGAAGUUCAGUGCCUGUCUGCAGGCACAAGCUGGCUGUUUGCAACUGCGGUGUUUGGUGCCUUGAAAUGAAGAUUUGGCUUUGUGGGCCAAAGUCUGCUCUAUUUGGGGACUAGCCUCGUGCAUCUCCUUAUCUUACUGAGUUAAAUGCUGACUACUGCCAAUUUCUUGGAAGGUUUCUCAGCACUAUUAGCUAACGUCACAGCUCAAUACACACCUUGUUCCUAAUACUACACAUCUUGUUCCUAAUUACAGGCAACGAUGUGUUGUCUCCAACAGGUACUGCAAUCUGCUGAUUUGGGUGCCAGCUUUUAGAACUUUGCAGAAGAGCCGUCUUUCAUGGUAACAGUCGAAUGAUUCUGUAGACUGUAUUAUCAACUACUUGGAGGAAAAAAUAGAACCUGUUGAAAAAGUCACACCCUUUCUUGUAAAGCGAACCAAUUUAAACUCGAUUCAGGAGGUUGUUGCAAUAUAAAUGAUACGGUGCAUCCCAGAUUUGAGUUCUAAGAAGCUGUAGAACCAGAUUAAUAAAUCUUGUAAAUCCUUUUAGAGGAAACAUGUAAGUGCAGAUUACUCGGUACAAAAGCAAUACAAGUUAUUUUUAUAAUAUGAUAAUUAUUUUUGUGUUUUGCAUUUCUUUUAGUUACAUUUUGCCUUCUGUUAUGCUCCAGUUUCAAAUCCUCAAAGGGUAAUUAGUAUCUAUUUAACUCGAAUCAGUGGGAGUCAGUUAUCUCAGCUGCUCUGACACUUACGUUUGAAGGAGAGAUCUGUAUGAAUGUUUAAUUUAUUUCCAAUAUAUCUGAUUAUAAUCAUAUAGCUACUUAGAGCUUAGAGAUAUUUCCAGCCAAAAGGCCAUAUACCUCCUAGUUAUAAAUUAAAAAUAAAUAAAUAAAUAGAAUAGUAGAUUCCUUUAUUACAAGGAUGAUCCUCAUCCAUGUAAAUAGCCUGACGGAAGACAAGAGGAUUGUUUAGAAAAUGAAGCACUGGAAACAAUAGUAUUAUUUGACCACAGUACUCGCUCCCACCCAGCCCACAUGCGGAAGGUAACCCAAACGGGCAUUCAGCACAGGAGGGUUGAGAAGAGGGGUAGCAGAGCAUAACAAUCUUUUCCACCGCUUCAAACCGUGCCAACAUUUAAGCAGCAGAAAUUAAACACCCUUUGUGCUGGAAUUGGACUGUUUGUCCGUGCAAGGCUAAGCCUGUAGUAAAGACGAGAGACACGUGAUAUCCAAAAAAACCCUUUAAACUCUCUCUUUUAGUCAUAAGCCACUGCUCUUUGAAAUGAUUCCUGUGUGGUUCUGAGCGCAUCCUGAGAAAACGUGUUAGUUGUCCUACUUCUUCUAAUGUGUACUCUAAUAAGGGCUCCUUUAAUCUGUGCUCUAAAUUUCCUUUAAUCUGGUCACUGUUUUACACUUUGAGAUGUACCCCUAAGGCCUCUUCUUGCCUCAGAAGAGGCUUGAAAACAACCAUAACUUGCUGCUUGCUUCUUCAGACACGUUCAUGUCUACAUUCCAGGUGUUGAUGUUGGUCCUGAUAGAUAUGUCCUAAAAGCCGGCUCUAUCCUAUAUGCAAAAGUGACCUGUGUAGUUAGUUGGCAGUGAAGCAUGGUGCUCACAGAAAUACUUGCUGGGGAAGCGAAGGUCUAAUGAGACAUGCAGUUUGUUGCUCAGCCAGCCCAUUUGGCAGCCUUGGUGAUUUUAAGAAAGUCAAUCCCAACUACCCAUCUGAGGUCCAGAAGAGUAGCUGGAAAAAAUCCUGAAGAAAUUUGCCAAACAGUGUGGUAUGCCUGUGGGAAACAGCAAUGCCCCGAAGUUCACCAUUCUCACUGUCGCUGCAAAAACACAAGGUGACACACAAAAGGAUGAAACAGUGUCUAAGCUGUCGUCAAGCAAGUACAGCCACAUCAGCAGGGUACAGUGCCCAGCUGCAUAGGCUUGGGAUGAGGUAUGUGCUUGGUCAUUGCAAACUGCAUUACCAAACCAAUGUAUUUGUAUGUGGGUGUGUGACGUGGGGAUCAAGAAGUUUGUCUUACUUAAUUCUAUACUUGAAGGCUAGGUAUCUUGCCUAAACUACUCACCUACGCUCCCUUUGUGUCA